GCCUGCCACUCAACAGAGAGAGUGAGAGCUUAGCUUUCCAGUCUAGCCGGUCCUUGCAAAUGGCGGCGAUAAAUUGCAUUCACUUUCCGUGCAAACAGAUCUCCAUUUUACUUACUUCUCGA